GAGGAUAUAUCUCAGUGGUAGAGCACAUGCUUAGCAUGCACAAGGUCCUGGGUUCAAUCCCCAGUACCUCCA
rnacentral:tRNA from 1 species